rnacentral:lncRNA from 1 species
CCAAUUCUUGUGUACAGAGCUCUCGUCCAAUUCCGGCUACCACUGAUUCCAAUCCUCCAGGAAAGCUACCCGCGCGCAGCUUUAAUACGUACGUAGGUGUGUGUUUGAAUUUAAUUAAAUUGGGAAGGAAAAAGAGUAAUAUGGAGAGGGAUUUCGUGGCUAAAUAGUGAACCACUUACAAGUGGGCAACUAAAGUCAUUACAUGCCUUUACUUCUGAAGCAUACUUAUGUUAUUUUGAAUAUAUUGAAAAACCAAGUAUGAACAGUUUAUCAAUUUCAGAACUGACAGUUGUAAACCAGGUGGUAGAAGUUUUCUCUGAAAUAUUUGAAGAACCUAAAGGGUUGCCACCACAAAGAGCUAUUAAUCACUUUAUACAUUUACAACCUAAUUCCAAUCCUGUAAAUGUAAGGCCAUAUAGAUUUCCCCAAU